UCUUCGCUAGUAUAUCGGUUUAGUACACGCGCCUGUCACGCGCGAAAGCUGGGUUCGACUCCCAGGCGAAGAG